rnacentral:rRNA from 1 species
GCCGGGGAAUUACGAGCCCAAACUUAAAACCCAAAGGACUUGACGGUGUCCCACCCCCCUAGAGGAGCCUGUUCUAUAAUCGAUACCCCCCGAUACACCUCACCACCCCUUGCAUACCAGCCCGUAUACCUCCGUCGCAAGCUUACCAUGUGAACGUCUUAGUGAGCCAAAAGAUCCACCAUCAACACGUCAGGUCAAGGUGCAGCCCACGGAGUGGAAAGAAAUGGGCUACAAUUUCUACCAUAGAACAAACGAAAGACUACAUGCAACAUAGUCACUGAAGGCGGAUUUAGCAGUAAAAAGAAAAUAGAGAGCUCUUUUUAACCCGGCACUGGGACGCGUACACACCGCCCGUCACCCUCUUCAAAUCAUCCAACUACCACCACAAAGAAGAGGCAAGUCGUAACACGGUAAGCGUACUGGAAAGUGCGCUUGGAACAAAAUGUACCUUAACCAAAGCCUUUCG